UACAGAGGGGGCAAGCGUUAUUCGGAAUUAUUGGGCGUAAAGGGCGCGUAGGCGGCCUGGCAAGUGGAAGGUGAAAUCCCUCGGCUUAACCGAGGAACUGCCUUCCAAACUGCUUGGCUUGAGUCCGGGAGAGGUGAGUGGAAUUCCCAGUGUAGCGGUGAAAUGCGUAGAUAUCGGGAGGAACACCAGUGGCGAAGGCGAUCUUCUGGACGGAUACUGACGCUGAGGCGCGAAAGCUAGGGGAGCAAACGGG
rnacentral:rRNA from 1 species